GACAGCGGGGGCAAGCGUUGCUCGGAAUUACUGGGCGUAAAGGGCGCGUAGGCGGGAUGGCAAGUCGGUCGUGAAAUCCUUCGGCUCAACCGAAGAACGUCGAUCGAUACUGCUGUUCUUGAGGGUUGCAGAGGAGACUGGAAUUCCCGGUGUAGCGGUGAAAUGUGUAGAGAUCGGGAGGAACACCGGUGGCGAAGGCGGGUCUCUGGGCAAUUCCUGACGCUGAGGCGCGAAAGCGUGGGGAGCAAACGGG
rnacentral:rRNA from 1 species